UGGGGAAUAUUGGACAAUGGGGGCAACCCUGAUCCAGCCAUGCCGCGUGAAUGAUGAAGGCCUUCGGGUUGUAAAAUUCUUUUGGUGGGGACGAUGAUGACGGUACCCACAGAAUAAGCUCCGGCUAACUUCGUGCCAGCAGCCGCGGUAAUACGAAGGGGGCUAGCGUUGUUCGGAAUUACUGGGCGUAAAGGGCGCGUAGGCGGCUUGAUAAGUUGGAUGUGAAAUCCCCGGGCUCAACUCGGGAAUUGCAUUCAAGACUAUCUUGCUUGAAUUCGGUAGAGGUUGGUGGAAUUCCCAGUGUAGAGGUGAAAUUCGUAGAGAUUGGGAAGAAUAUCCGUGGCGAAGGCGGCCAACUGGACCGACAUUGACGCUGAGGCGCGAAAGCGUGGGGAGCAAACAGG
rnacentral:rRNA from 1 species